rnacentral:tRNA from 1 species
GAGGGUAUAGCUCAGUGGUAGAGCCUGUGCUUAGCAUGCACGAGGUCCUGGGUUCAAUCCCCAGUACCUCCA